CGUGCGGUCCUAUUUUGUUGGUUUCUAGGAUCGCCGUAAUGAUUAAUAGGGAUAGUUGGGGGCAUUCGUAUUCAAUUGUCAGAGGUGAAAUUCUUGGAUUUAUUGAAGACGAACUACUGCGAAAGCAUUUGCCAAGGAUGUUUUCAUUGAUCAAGAACGAAGGUUAGGGGAUCGAAAACGAUCAGAUACCGUUGUAGUCUUAACAGUAAACGAUGCCGACUAGGGAUCGGAUGAGAUUUUUAAUGACUCAUUCGGCACCUGAAGAGAAAUCUUUAAGUCAGGUUCGGGGGGGAGUAUGGUCGCAAGGCUGAAACUUAAAGGAAUUGACGGAAGGGCACCACCAGGUGUGGAGCCUGCGGCUUAAUUUGACUCAACACGGGGAAACUCACC
rnacentral:rRNA from 1 species